GCCUAAGCUAAAAAGAUAACACUCUUUUCCCCUAAAAAUUUCAUCUCCCUUCUUUUUCCCCCACUCCCAACGCGAUUCUCGUUCCCUUUCUCUCCAUCGAUUUCAAGACUUUGCUCUCUAUCGAUUGCCUUAGAUGGUGUAAUAGGAGGUAGAGAUUUGUAGUGCUUGCAGGUGAUUUCUUCACUCGACAGAUCUCCAUCCUACAAUCGAUUCCUUCCAACCAAAUAUCGAUUUCUCUCCUGAAUCUUCAACCUGGAGGUCUGGUUUUAUAGCUACAGGAUGUCUUAAAUUGCCCUCGUUAUCAAUCUCAAAUGUGAAAAACUGGUGCUCUUUUGAGAUUUUGUUGGAGCCAAAUAUUAUUGGCCAGUUAUAUUGGUGGUGAUGCAAGCUUGUUGAAGACAGGGAGGAAGGAGAAGAAAGAUGGAAUGCUUUAUCAAGAAAAUGGGGUUGUUUGUGAAGACAGUACUGUGGUCUUCAACAAUUUUCAAAACCUAAUAACAUUUGUGAAACCAUGUUCUUGUUCAUUAAGUUUUACAGUUAACUACAAUGCAUGAUGUUCUAAUAGAAAUUACAUGAUGUAGACAAAACCCAUUGUUUUCCAAUCAUCAACUAAUGGAGACUACCAACUGUUUUCUCU